ensembl:rRNA 5S_rRNA 5S ribosomal RNA
GUCUACGGCCAUACCACCCUGAACGCGCCCGAUCUCGUCUGAUCUCGGAAGCUAAGCAGGGUCGGGUCUGGUUAGUACUUGGAUGGGAGACCGCCUGGGAAUACCAGGUGCUGUAAGCU